CCUACGGGGGGCAGCAGUGGGGAAUAUUGCUCAAUGGGGGGAACCCUGAUGCAGCAACGCCGCGUGAGUGAAGAAGUAUUUCGGUAUGUAAAGCCCUAUCAGCAGGGAAGAAAAUGACGGUACCUGACUAAGAAGCCCCGGCUAACUACGUGCCAGCAGCCGCGGUAAUACGUAGGGGGCAAGCGUUAUCCGGAUUUACUGGGUGUAAAGGGAGCGCAGACGGCUGUGCAAGUCUGGAGUGAAAGGCGGGGGCUCAACCCCCGGACUGCUCUGGAAACUGUAAAGCUGGAGUGCAGGAGAGGUAAGCGGAAUUCUUAGUGUAGGGGUGAAAUGCGUAGAGAUUAGGAGGAACACUAGUGGCGAAGGCGGCUUACUGGACUGCAACUGACGUUGAGGCUCGAAAGCGUGGGGAGCAAACAGGAUUAGAUACCCUUGUAGUC
rnacentral:rRNA from 1 species